UUUAAAUCCUGCCUGUGUUCGUGCAAAUGAUUCACACUGAAAGUAUCUUAGUUUAGUAUUAAGUGAGCCACAAAGCAGCCUAAUAGCUUUAAAAAAACAGUAAAAGUAAGUGAAAUUGCCAGUUUCAGUGUAAUUCAGACUAAAGUCCAGCUGCAGAUAAGGAAUACCACUAAGUCAACAGUGUCUGAGUGAGUACUUCUCUGGUUAAAGUCCCUGUUUUCUUUCACCGUAUGUUUGUUUGUUUUUUAGAUUUGGAGUCUGUGGUUGGGUAGAUUUAAGAUGAGUCAUUGUUUUUCUAUCCAUGGUAGCUUCCACUACUGAGGCUCAGGAAAAAUGAAGAGGAUAAUUAAGAGGAACCAUCAGUUCUGUCUCAUCUAACUACACAGUAUUUAUAAUCAUGCACUUAUGUCUCAAACUAAGACAAAAUGAGACAAAAUUAGUUAUGUGAGUCUUUAGAUUAUCAGUAAAUUCUGGUGAUAGUUUCACACUCAGUGCAGCCAUUUUUGGUUUGUGAUGAGUGUUUUGUGAUGCUCAGCUUCUGUUUUGUGAAUUGCUCUUUCUAAUUUAGAAGAUCCUGCAGAAAUGUGUGCGCCCUUAUCUGAGAGGACAUGGAGAGAGUGUCGCAAACUCGAGUUGACAGGUAACCCUACUGGAGUCGCCAAUAGUAACCGGUGGCUUCUCAGCUUCAGUGUGUUGAUGGGCACAGCCAUUGUUACCACAGCUGGAGUUGGUAUACGCGGAGCUGUGAGAGGACAGAGAUGGCGAACGGACAUUUAACUAUUUAACAGGAGAUACGUUAUGACUAAUAGACGACUACUGUUUAAAUGAUGUCUUUGCAGCCCUUAUGGCACACGUUACACAACUUUUCUUCAUGCCAGCAAGACUGAGGUGCCCACAUAGUUGACACAUACAACUGAUUAUGAAUGCAUAUUUUACUAUUCCUAUUUUCACAUCAUCUCCUUGGCUUUAUUAGUGAAAGCCUGGAGAUACUCUGACUUGUGCAUGGCUGAUGUGAAGUAUGAUUAGUACUACAUGACUUACACCAUCAACAACAGAGGCAAUGAAAGCUUUGUUGUUAACAGGUUGGAUGGUAAAGUCAAAUUUCUAAUUCUACACUUGUGUUCGGUAAAGUUAUUCUCACUGCAGCAGAUUUAUAUCUGUGGUUUCACAGGGCGUGAUGUGGACCUCAGCGCUGAGGUGCAGGAGAAUUUCAUUCAGUUCUCCCUACAAACCAGCAUCCAGCCUGAAAAUAUUGUCAUCUUUCCCAAAAAUGGUCCUCUUAUCUCAGAGAAGACGUUUGAUGUAAAAUAACUGCAAUCAACAGUGAUGUUAUGCACAGAUCACUUUUCCAUUUUCCUCUCUCUGGAUGAGUGCCCAGCUGCCUAACCUUGUGUCCAGGUGAUCAUCCUACUGAGGGGCUUUUACUGUUCUGAAAAUCUCACGUCCAUGACCUGUUUCCUUUUUACUUUACUAUCUCUGCUCUUUCUUUAUUAAGAAUGCUCAUAAUGUCACAAAAUUAUAUUCAUCACUUGC
ensembl:lncRNA